rnacentral:rRNA from 1 species
GAUGAACGCUAGCUACAGGCUUAACACAUGCAAGUCGAGGGGUAACGAGAGGAAAGCUUGCUUUCCUUGUCGACGACCGGCGCACGGGUGAGUAACGCGUAUCCAACCUGCCCCCAACUAGGGAAUAACCUUGCGAAAGUAAGACUAAUACCCUAUAAUUUCCUCAGAUGUCAUCUGACGAGGAAUAAAGAUUUAUCGGUUGUGGAUGGGGAUGCGUCUGAUUAGCUUGUUGGCGGGGUAACGGCCCACCAAGGCAACGAUCAGUAGGGGUUCUGAGAGGAAGGUCCCCCACAUUGGAACUGAGACACGGUCCAAACUCCUACGGGAGGCAGCAGUGAGGAAUAUUGGUCAAUGGGCGGAAGCCUGAACCAGCCAAGUAGCGUGCAGGAUGACGGCCCUAUGGGUUGUAAACUGCUUUUAUACAGGAAUAAAGUGAGCCACGUGUGGUUUUUUGUAUGUAUACUAUGAAUAAGGAUCGGCUAACUCCGUGCCAGCAGCCGCCGAAA